GUGCCGAGUGAUGAUGCCGACUGGUGCCGAGUGAUGCCGAAUGAUGCGAAGACAUGUAUACUCAGACAGUCUAUUGUAUACACAGACAGAGCAGUGUUGGGGAAAUCGUUAAGACCAGCUCACGAAUAGGGGGAGUAACCGAGGGACCUGGAACUAGCCGUGUUGCAGAGGUUGUUCUUCAAGGUGGUUAUAUAUGGCUGCUGCAACACCUUACAUCAUUAAUGCAGUCAACGUGUGAGGCGGCAGAGCAGGUGUGAGCCUAUACCAGACCCCACACACUACUCCGUCCUUACCACCUCUCCAGUGCAGAAGGAAGAUAAAAACAGGAUAGGGGCUGACCGUUGUAUCGGGAACAGACCUUAGUAAACCCUGUCAAUCUACCACGUCCUUCCACCACCCAAGACGAGUGAGCUGUUCAGACGUGGUGCUUAGAGAGCACUGCAGUGCGAGUGAACUGUUCCAGAAAUGUUGUCGGCUACAGAAUCGGGUGCGGAGCUACCAGAACAAGUGCUUGUAGGUGCGAGUUGUGAAGAGUCGAGAACCGCGUGAGUGGACGGGAAGCAGCUGUGUUAUGGAGGAGCUGCUAUGACGAGUGGUUGAGAAGGUAGAUAGAGAAAUACCUCUCGAGGGAGGAUGAGAACCACAACAUGGUGUCCAGAUGACGAAGUACCAUCAGGAGGAAGAGAAACGACCAAGAGGACAGAAAAAGAUGAAUCUGCCAUGAACAGGUCUCUUACCCGACAUGGCAGAAAGUUGUAUCGUGUAGAAUUAAUUGUUGGUUAGCUACGUCCGCAGAAAUACUACAACAGAUUAUAACAGUAUAUUGAAAGUUUAAUUACGGACGACUGUAGGAAUGAGGGAAGGACGAGCAGUAUUGUGUAGGACUGAGGGAAGGACUCGCUGUAUUGUGUAGGAAUGAGUGAAGGACUUACUGUAAAGUGUAGAUGUGAGAGGACUCACUGUAAAGUGUAGGUGUGAGAGGAGGACUCACUGUAAAGUGUAGAUGUGAGAGGAGGACUCACUGUAAAGUGUAGAUGUGAGAGGAGGUCUCACUGUAAAGUGUAGAUGUGAGAGGAGGACUCACUGUAAAGUGUAGAUGCGAGAGGAGGACUCGCUGUAAAGUGUAGAUGCGAGAGGAGGACUCGCUGUAAAGUGUAGAUGUGAGAGGAGGACUCACUGUAAAGUGUAGAUGUGAGAGGAGGACUCCCUGUAAAGUGUAGAUGUGAGAGGAGGACUCACUGUAAAGUGUAGAUGCGAGAGGAGGACUCACUGUAAAGUGUAGAUGUGAGAGGAGGACUCGCUGUAAAGUGUAGAUGUGAGGGGAGGACUCACUGUAAAGUGUAGAUGUGAGAGGAGGACUCACUGUAAAGUGUAGAUGUGAG